rnacentral:rRNA from 1 species
CAACUCUCACCAACGGAUAUCUUGGCUCCCGUAACGAUGAAGAACGCAGCGAAUUGCGAUACGUAGUGUGAAUUGCAGAAUUCCGUGAACCAUCGAAUCUUUGAACGCAAAUUGCGCUCGAGGCCUCGGCCAAGAGCAUGUCUGCCUCAGCGUCGGCUACUACCCUCAA